CACUGGGCUUUGUGCUAGGAAUACACAGGAGAACGAAUUGAGUGAAUCAUGGGGCCCACUUCAUGAAAUCUACAGCUUGGUGAGGUAGACCAUUAAAAAAAUAAACAUGCCAAUAAGUAUUGGUUGUGCAUAACUGCUAAGAAACAAAAGGACAGGGUGCUCUGAGAAAGCCCAGGAUUCACAGAAGUAACCACUCUUCAUAAGCCAGCUCAAAUGGCAGCAGCUCCAUGAAACCUGUCCUUAUCCCUCCCAUUUGCUCCCAGUUAUAUGGUCUUUCUCCUUCAUUCUAACUAUAUAUCACAAAUUUACUUUUAUUAUGGCAUUUGUUUUACUCUUGUUUAUUUUUACUCAUAAGGAUAGCUAAUGAUGACAGCUAUUAUCAGGGAUUCUUACGGGUUUAACUUAAGCCUUUGUCUAAUUCUUGCCAUCUGGACCAAGAACUUCUGAAGGUAGGCUCUAUGUCUUACCCACCUCUGUUGUACCUGUAGAUCUAGCAGAAUUCCUGGCACAAAUUAAGGGCUCCAGGAAUAUUUGUAGAAUAGAAAGAAAUUGCACUAUCUUUUUUGACUCCUGCAUAUGAAAAUUUUACCCUAAUUCAAAUGACUCUCUCUAAUCUUUACACAUUAGGCUAUUUCUUUAGUUAGUGAAUUGUCAUACAUCAACUCCUUUAACAUAUUAUGGAUGAUGAAUAAUUCAAAGCAUGUUAUAAGAGUCAGGGUUUUAAUCAUUAAAAAGCUUUAACAUUCUAUGGCAAGAGGGAUAUUCUUGGAAGAAUCCCAGACUAAAAUCCCUUAACCAACAUCUAAAGACAUUCUGUUUUGUGCAAUAUUUGGAAGUGCCUUCCCAAUGCAAAAUUCUGCUCUUGCUUUUCCCAUGAUCUUGUCAAAAAGAAUAGUCAUCAGUUCUUAUAACAGAAAGCAUCCUAAUGCCUCUUUCUGGCAGUCUAAUCCCUUUACGGAAAGGAAAACAUUUAUGUUUUUACCCAGGUUGAAAGGAAAUAAUACAGUAAAGAAUAUGUAUCAGCUCACAUACCUAAAAAACCCAGAGAUAGGGAUGUUUUAGUUGAGGUUUGAUCCAAUGCCUCAAGGAUAUCGAAAAGACCUGGGUUCUUUCCAUCUCUGUGUCAGCUUCAUCCUAAGGCUGGCUCUGUUCCUAGUUCCAAGAUGGCUGCUCACAGCUCCCGGGCCAUAUGCUUUCCUUCUGUGUCAAAGAGAGCAACUUUGUUCCAGCAUUCCCAGAAAACCCCAUAUAAUGACUGUGUGGUCUGCUGAGUUCACACAUCGACACUUGGGUUCAAUUACUGCAGUCAAAAGGAUGGGAUGUGAUGUUUGGUUUGGUCCAUUCUACCCCUCAAUGGAAGGCAGUGAAGUAAGCUUCCUUCAAAAUCACAUGGAUCCCCAAAGGAAACUGAUGACUGUUGGGAAGGGGGAAGGGUGACAUGGAUGCUGGCAAAGCAUCUAACACAUGUUGACUAAAUAAGGUCCCAGCCUUGGUCUAUGAAGCCAGCCUAUUCAGGAGGAUAGGACUAUUCAUUCACAUCAGAAAGAAAAAAAGGAAAGGCAUGAACUGCUUCUCUCUCUCCUGAAAAUGGCAUCAUACUCUGGGGGAAAAAAAGACCUUUGCUUUUGUAUUGGCUUUGUUUAGGGAUGGUGUUAUGGUCUAAUAUAAUCAGUACUUUUGAAUAAAAUUAUUCCUGUUCUAAAUUGUUAAAGUCAUUAUGGACAAGUGAGAGCCAAGUAACAAUAUGUACCCCAUCACCACCCACAUACACUUUUUCUUCUUUCUUCCCUGUCCUUUCUCUCCAUUUCCUCUCCCUCUAUCCCCUUUCAUUUUUCCUUCCCUCCCUGGAAUUCUCCUUACCCUCUGUCUUUGAUCUCUUUCCUCUCAUGUUUUUCUCUCAUCCUCUCUCUCUAAGUGGGUCCCAAUAGGUGGAUUAACUUAGCAGGAGAAACCCAGUUCUGGUUUUCUUUACAGUAUCAUGGAACAAAGUGUGAAAGCGGUACCAAUGGUUUAGGGCUGUCUUGGGGAGAGCUACCCCAACUUCUCUGUGGCCUGCAAACUUUGUCAGAGGAUAAAGUCUCAGCCAUCUGGUAAGAAAUACACUGAUAUCACCAAAAGGUCCUGCAUUAGCUAUUAAGGGAGAGAAACUGCAACUCGUUUAAUAGUGGAAUCUAUGAUCUGACUCUUUUCUCCCCAAUUCUCACAUCACCCUUGAGUGCUAAGAAGCAGAUUAGUUUUUUCAGUACCAUUUCAGAGUCUUGAAGGACCAGUAAGCACAGGCAUGAACAGUGUGACAGAAUGACCAGAUUUUUAGGCUUAGUGUAUAACAGUCUUUACUUCUGGCUGAUUUUUCCUACUCAGAUAUAAUUCAGAGUAGCAUGAAAUCUCUUUUCCAAAUAACUUCAUUCAUCAACCAUUAGCAUUAUCAAGAACAACGACUCACAAGCAAGAGACAAUAACAUUAACAUAAAAUAUAGGAACCUUCAUUUUUUCUUCUUUGGCUGCAUCUGGUGCAUAUGGAAGUUUCCAGGGUAGGGGUCAAAUAAGAGCUGCGGCUGCUGCCUACACCACAGCCACGGUAGCACAUGAUUCGAGCUGCAUCUACAACCUGCACUGAAGCUUGUGGCAACACCAGAUCUUUAACCCACUGAGGCCAGGGAUUGAACCUGCAUGCUCACAGAGAGUAUAUCGGUUCCUUAUCCCAUUGAGCCACAACAGGAACUCCAAAUGAAGGAACUUUUGCUUAUAAAAUAAAAGCACCAUGCUUUGAGAUCAGUCUAAGCCAAAUAUUGUCCUCAAAUACAUAAGUUCACUGCAUGUAUUUUUAGGGAAGCUUAUACCACAAAAAAAAAGUUUUAUUUACAAUUUUAAAAUAGCUAUUUGUAUUUAUCAAAAUACUCUUUUUUGGGAGAUAACAGAUGGUUAAAAUGGAAGUUCUUGUAAGAUAUAUAGCAUGAAAGUUUUGACCAACAUUUUCUAAUUAGAGCACAAUUACUAACAGUAAAAGAAGAAAAUCCUGUCUCUAGAGAGGUAAUUUAAUACCUAGAGCUUGCUUACAAAAGAUGGAAGACUAAUAAAGCUUUAUGUUGCAUCUAUAUCUAAUUUUAAUAGUUGUUCUCAUGAUGACAGACAACUGUACUAUUUUCUGGUGGUGAAAGAUUUGCACAUAACCAUCAUUUAAUUUUGUUCAAAGUCCUUUGUUAUUCUGGACAGCCAGUGAGGUACGUGGACAUUUGUCCUAAUGCAAGGAUCAAUACUGGAGUUCAGUCAACAUCCAACAAACAUGCAUUGAGUGCCUGCUCACUUGACAACAUAUUCUAUAGAUGGUACUGAGCCUAGUUUCCUUCCUUUGGGAUCUCACAGUCUCAUGAAGACACAGACAUUUAUUUAAAUAAUUAAACUACAUAUUGUAGGUAUGUGCAGUGCACAGUGGGAAUAGAAAAAGGGAAUUAAGGUUCUGUGAUGGAAUCUGGAAAAUGUCAUUGAGGAGGUAGCUUUUAAGAUGGAACUUGAAGAAUAAGUAAGAAGAAAGAUAAGUAAAGAAGGCAGUUACUCCAGUCUCAAUAAUAUCACAUGCUAAGAUAAGGUACAGUUUGGCCUACUUAAGAAAUACAGUUAUUGUUGCUGGAACAUAAAAUAGGAGAGCAGCAUAGAAGAGGAGGCAUGAUUGGAAUUCUGUAGACCAAUCACAAAGUUCAUUUAUGCCAUGCUAAAAACAUGUCUUAAGAAUGUAGUUUUUAUUCCACAGAUCAUAUAAGUCAAUUGAAGGAUUUCAAAUAACAUGAUCAGCUUUUUAUUUAGAAAAUGUUUAGUUUAAAUUGGGAGAGGACACACUUAGAAGCAGAAAAAUACAAUCAUUGAGUACUGCAAAGAGCUAGGCAAUGGCUACUGAAGAGCUGAACCAUAACAGAGGUACUGAAGCUGGAAAAGAGAAGAAAAAGAAAAGAUACAUUUAGAAAAUAGAAUCACCCAUAACUACUGAUAGAUUAGAUGUGAGCACAAGGGAAAGAAAAAAAUCCUUAAAUAACAAUUUUAAAAUAACUCUUAGGAUUUUUGCUUGAGCAAUGGGGUCAAUAGAUAUUGAUGCCACUCAUUAUAACAAGGAAAAUGGGAGAAGCAGCAAGUUUUGGGAGGUAGUUAGUAAUUUGGGGACAUUUUCAGCUUGAGAUCCUUUGGAGAUAUUCAAGCGGUGGUAUCUGGUUGGCUAGACUGUUCUUUCUAGACUCUAAAAUAAGUCAGAGCUAAAGAUAUCAAUGAGGCUAUGAAUGUGAUGACAGAAGAAGAGUAGGAGACACCAAUGGAGUGCUCCACCUAUUAAAGGUCAGGAAGAGGGACAAGGACAUACAAAGAAACCAGAAGAAACUUGCUCAGAUAACUAGGAAGAAAGCCAGUGAAGAGUGCAAUCAUGGAAAACCAGGGAAGAGAAAUAUUUUAUUUAUAUCCUUGUAUUGUUUCACAUUUUUAGCAAGCAUGUCCCAUAUUUCUUUUGUCAUAUGAUAAUAUUAAAUAAAAACACUGAGUUAAAAAAGUGAAAAACUCAAUAAAAAGAUAACACAAUUAAAAAAUAGGCAAAUAACUUGACUAUAUAUUUCCCCCAAAAGAUAUAUGAGUGGCCAAUAAGCACACGAAAAGAUGCUUGAUAGCAUUGUUAAUUAGGGAAACACAGAUCAAACCUGCAAUAAGCACUACUUUACUCUUACUUGAAUGGCCAAUAGCCAAAGGUGGAAGCAACCCAAAAGCCCACCAACAGAUGAAUGGAUAAACAAAAUGUGGUAUAUCCAUACAAUGGAGUAUUACUCAGCUAUCAAAAGGAUACAUGCUGCAACAAAAUGAACCUUGAAAACAUGAUGCUCUGUGAAAGAAGCUUAUCACAAAAGGUCAUGUAUUACAGACAAUAGGUGGAUUAGGAAAACACCUAGAGAUUAGUGGUUGCCAGGGGCUGUUUAAGAGUGGUGAGUAACUGCUUGAUGGGUAUAGCAUUUCCAUCUAUGAUGAUGAAAAAGGACUGGAACUAGAUAAUGGUGAUGUUUUAACAACAUCAUGAAUGUAUUUCAUGCCACUGACAUUCACUCUUUAAAAUGGCUUAUGGAGUUCCCUGGUGGCUCAUCAGGUUAAGGGUCUGGUGGUGUCAUGGUUGUGGCUCAGGUUGCAAAUGUGGCACAGGUUCAAUUCCUGGCCCAGGAACUUCUGCAUGCUGCAGGU
rnacentral:lncRNA from 1 species